UACGUAGGGUGCGAGCGUUAAUCGGAAUUACUGGGCGUAAAGGGUGCGCAGGCGGCUCCGCAUGUCGGGCGUGAAAUCCCCGGGCUUAACCUGGGAAUUGCGUCCGAAACUAUGGAGCUGGAGUGUGGCAGAGGGAGGUGGAAUUCCACGUGUAGCGGUGAAAUGCGUAGAGAUGUGGAGGAACACCGAUGGCGAAGGCAGCCUCCUGGGCCAACACUGACGCUGAGGCGCGAAAGCCAGGGGAGCAAACGGG
rnacentral:rRNA from 1 species